rnacentral:rRNA from 1 species
AUUGAACGCUGGCGGCAUGCCUAACACAUGCAAGUCGAACGGCAGCAUGGUCUGGUUUACCAGACUGAUGGCGAGUGGCGGACGGGUGAGUAAAGCGAAGGAAUAAGCCUUAUAGAGGGGGAUAACACGGUGAAACUCGUGCUAAUACCGCAUAAAGUCGCGAGACCAAAGCUGGGGAUCUUCGGACCUGGCGCUGUAAGAUUAGCUUACGGCCGAUUAGCUAGUUGGUGGGGUAAAGGCCUACCAAGGCGACGAUCAGUAGCUGUUCUGAGAGGAAGGCCAGCCACACUGGGACUGAGACACGGCCCAGACUCCUACGGGAGGCAGCAGUGGGGAAUAUUGGACAAUGGGGGCAACCCUGAUCCAGCAAUGCCGCGUGUGUGAAGAAGGCCUGCGGGUUGUAAAGCACUUUCAGUGGUGAGGAAGUUUAUAUUGUUAAGAGCAGAAUAAAUUGACGUUAACCACAGAAGAAGCACCGGCUAACUCCGUGCCAGCAGCCGCCGUAA